rnacentral:rRNA from 1 species
UACGUAGGCAGCAAGCGUUGUUCGGAUUUACUGGGCGUAAAGCGUGUGCAGGCGGGUGGACAAGUGGUGUAUGAAAUCGCCAGGCUAAACCUGGCGGGGUUAUGCCAGACUGUCCGUCUGGAGUGCGAGAGAGGGGCGUGGAAUUCCGGGUGUAGUGGUGAAAUGCGUAGAGAUCCGGAGGAACCCCAGAGGCGAAGGCGGCGCCCUGGCUCGCAACUGACGCUCAGACACGACAGCAUGGGGAGCGAACGGG